CAGCAUUCGAGUUGGAACAACGGUAUUUUCAGCUAGACUGGAUAGUGAUUCAUGAUAAAAUAUUCAAAGGGUGAAAUCAAGUGACUAAAAUAGAUUUUUUUCUCAUGUUUUAAAGUUGUAUUAUCAAUGACGUUUGGAGAGGAAAGAUGAUUCAGUGUUCAUCUGCUCAUUAGUAUACGUGAAUACUUCUUGUGUUUCUCAUGAGAUCGCAUUCUGUAUGUGGUGAAAGCGGCAAUGAAUUUCAUUCAUCAAACUUCAUUAUAAAUAUUCGAUCACAGUAACUCUUUGGAUGUGAACACUACUGUGCUUGAAACAUCAUGUUCAACAAGGAGUUGACACUGUUUUUGACGUUGGUGUUGGCAUGGAGAGUGAGAAGCGAUGUGGAGUACCGGGUGCUGUCGUCAUCGUUCAUUGAGCC